AUUGAGGAAACGUUUUUAGACAACAUCAUGGUGUACACAGAUGCAUCAAAAACUAUAAAUAAUAAGGUAGGAGCAGCAGCUGUUAUACCACAAGGAAACAUAGUAUUAAAUAAAAGAAUUAGUGAUAAGUUAUCUGUUUUUACGGGAGAAUUGGUAGCAAUUUAUAUGGCAAUUCAUUGGAUAGAAGAAAAUAAAGCAAGAAAAGCAGUCGUGUGCUCAGACUCCAGUAGUGCAUUGAUGAGCAUAAAAAACAUAGCAUCAGAAACAAGACAAGAUUUAGUUUAUGAAAUAGUUCAGGCAAAUUACAGAAUAAAUAAAGCGGGAGGUGUGGUAACAUUUCUUUGGGUUCCUGCUCAUGUAGGAGUUGAGGGGAACGAAUUAGCGGAUAAGUACGCAAAACAAGCAACUACUAAAACAGAAGUAAACAUGGAGAUUAAGCACAGUAAAGAGGAAGUGAAGAACAUAAUUAAGAUGGAACACAAUAAAAAGUGGCAGGAUAAUUGGAAUAAGGAAACAACAGGUAGAGAGUAUUACAAAGUCCAGAGGAGAGUAGGUGUAAUGAGAGGAGGCAAUAGAAAUAGGAAGGAAGAAGACAUUAUUACUAGAAUGAGAUUAGGACAUACAUAUCUAAAUAGUUCAUUAAAAUUGAUAGGGAAACAUACUACAGGACUGUGUGAUUCUUGCCAACAGCUAGAAAGUGUAGGACAUGUUUUAAUACAUUGUAGGAAAUAUAAUAGAGAAAGAGAAAUACUGGAAAGUAAGUUAGCGAAAGAGAAUAUUAGGUUAGCAGUGGAAGAUAUAUUAGGAAUGCACUCAGAACACAUAGGUUAUAAAGCAAUAUGCACAUAUUUAAAAAAUACUGGGUUAAAUAAAAGAAUAUAGAGUAGGGAUCCACCUCGAUCCACACUCCAUUACAGUAGGUGGCGGUAAUGCACACCACAAGGUUGCUUGCCAACCGCCAUAAAAACAAAAGAAGAAGAAGAAUGGUUUUUCACGGGACACAUUUCCGGCGUUGUUGUUGUUGUUUCCGGAUGAGGAGAUGCGGCUCCGUUAUUGAUUAAAGUAAAGUCUGAAUGCCAUUAAAACAGUUAGCUCCAUCUUUUGACACUUCUUCCACUCCCGUCCUCGCUACAACAAAGAUGACGGGGAGAAGACGCCGUCGAAGGACUUUGUCCUGGACCUACCGGGGCCUGUGGCCCCUGGACCCUGGCUACUAGGUUUUUCUGAUUUCAAAAGUUGGCAGAUAAGGAUCCAGCAGCUCCAUCAUGUACUGGAUGUCGGUGUCCAGCUGAGGCAUGUCACACUGCGCCACCACGGUCGGGGGCUGGGGGCCUGGAACCUAUCCCAGCUGCAUUCGAGCGGAAGACGGAGUACAACCUGGACCAUACUUGCCAACCCUCCCGGAUUUUCCGGGAGACUCCCGAAAUUCAGCGCCUCUCCCGAAAACCUCCCGGGACAAAUUUUCUCCUGAAAAUCUCCCGAAAUUCAGGCGGACUCUGGUCCUCAUGGGUUUAUUGUUAGGCAGUUUCAUUAACGUCCUCCCAGCGCGGCAACAACACACAACAACAGCAGUCACGUUUUUGUCUACCGUAAAGCAGUUCGUCUGCCGUAAACAGCAAUGUUGUGACACUCUUAAACAGGACAAUACUGCCAUCUAGUGCAUUUGAUGAAAGCACUUUUGUGCGUGCCACACAUCAAUGCAUCAUCAGAGACAGGGUGUUCAGCAUGGUUAGAAAAAUAGUGACAGAGAAUAGAACAAGGAUGGACAAUUCAACCCUUAACUCAACAAUGAGUAGAUGAGUGUUAUGUGUGUGUAUAUGUGUAAAUAAAUGAA